GAUGAACGCUGGCGGCGUGCCUAAUACAUGCAAGUCGAACGCGAGCACUUGUGCUCGAGUGGCGAACGGGUGAGUAAUACAUAAGUAACCUGCCCUAGACAGGGGGAUAACUAUUGGAAACGAUAGCUAAGACCGCAUAGGUACGGACACUGCAUGGUGACCGUAUUAAAAGUGCCUCAAAGCACUGGUAGAGGAUGGACUUAUGGCGCAUUAGCUGGUUGGCGGGGUAACGGCCCACCAAGGCGACGAUGCGUAGCCGACCUGAGAGGGUGACCGGCCACACUGGGACUGAGACACGGCCCAGACUCCUACGGGAGGCAGCAGUAGGGAAUUUUUCGGGCAAUGGGGGAAACCCUGACCGAGCAACGCCGCGUGAAGGAAGAAGGAUCUAUGGUUUGUAAACUUCUUUUAUAGGGAAUAAAGUGGAGGACGUGUCCUUUUUUGUAUGUACCCUAUGAAUAAGCAUCGGCUAAC
rnacentral:rRNA from 1 species